UGAGGCGGAGAUGUCGAGGAGGGUGGGCACGGUGCCGACGGUGGCGAGCAUGGAUAGCACAGCGGCGUUGUUGUUGUUGUGUUGGUCGGUGCCGACGACAGAGGAGAAGCAGAGGGAUUUGAUGAGGGCGGUGAGGACACUCAAGGAGGAGAAGGAGAAGAAGAAUGAUGAAUAAGAGGAAGGAAAAAAAUAGUGUAAAUUGAAGGAAGAAGAAGAAAAAAGAAAUAGUGCAACUUUAUCAUAAAGAGUGCAACUUCUACCUAAAUAGUGCAACUUCAUACUAAAGAGUGUAAAUCUGAUUUUAAAGACUGUAAUUUCUAUCUUAAAGAGUGCAACGUUUAUUUAAAAUUGUGCAAUUUUUUUUUAAAAUAGUGCAACAUUAUUUUAGCAGUGCAAUUUCAUUAUCUUUUUCCUUUUUAUAUGAUUUUUGAUCUUUUGUGGAGGGAAAAAAUAUUUUUUUUAUCUUUAUUUUUUUUCUUUAUAAUCUUGUGGUCACGAUCUCUCCCUUGCCCUCUAUCGCAGCCACUGCUCUCGCCGGAGUUUUCUCCCAUCCUCUCGCCGGUAUGCUUUUCGUC
rnacentral:lncRNA from 1 species